UAAGACUUCUUGUAGUUGUAAACUUCAGCCACUGUCUACAUACCGAUUAAAAUACUUCAUAAAGUCAUCAAGUCAAAUAGUGUUACUCAACUAGUUGCAAGCCAGAUCAUGUCAUCUUAUUCUACAAUUGCUCAGAAGAAUGAAAAUAAAAAUGUUAAAGACAACUCAGCUCGGGCACAAUCCCUUCCACAGAGCUGCAUCUGAGACGUGCUUCCUUGUGAGAGAAGCAAACUGUGGCAUAAAGAAUAUGAGGAAUUCCCAGAGACUGCAGUGUUCCAGAAGGCCCCUGGCACUCUGCUGGAGUGUAUCUAAAGGAAAUUCAGGAGGUUUUUUUCUCUCAUUAUGUGUAUGCAAGAAAGAACCCCUCAUGAGAAGGGAAAAGUCCUUGUGGAAUAGUUUCAGUCAUCGCUGCUACAAAGGGAGGGAUGAUGAAGAAAAGAAAAACACAACAAAUCCAAGGAGAAUGAGAACUUCAUGGAAAUAGAUUGGAGAUGCUGAAACCAAGGAAAGGAAUAUACGAGAGAGGAAAAUCUGUAUCGCUGGAGCAAUUCUUCUGAAGGAAGUUCUGGAAAUUCCAGGACAUCUGUACACAGCAGGUCGGGACAGGUUACCAUCUAGAACAUGAUGUGAAAUCUCUUGGUUGAGCUGCUGUCCCCAGUUCAAUUAGGCAUGUCACAGAAUCCAGCCCGUGUGCUGUGACCGCCUCGGGGAUUUUCUUUCGAUAGAGGA